GGCGGGGCAUCUGCCUCACAUGGCUAUUCGGGGAACCAGGCUGCCCCUUCCUGCGGCCACACCACUGUCUGUGGCCCUUAAGGGUGACUCCGAAGGCCACCAACAAAGCGACAGCUGGAGACGGUCGCACCGGGAUGCCGAACGCAGUAACUUCCCUACAAGCCCUGCGGCACCGAGGAUUAGGCAGCAACUAACGUUGAGGACGAUGAGCCUGAAUUAGUGAAAGGUCCUAAGUCACUGAAAAAAGAAGUAAAGAAUCUGGACACUCACGAAGCUUACUGAUCAGUUACCCUACAUUUUAAUUACGUUCUCCAACCCUCUGAUUUGGAGAGAACACCCGAUCGACGUGAGUGCUCCUGGGUGCCGUCCCGGGCACAGGGCUCGCCUCGGGCGAGCGUGGCCGAGUUAAGGACCGAGGGCAGGUACGGCGGGGCUGUUACAUAAGAGAACACUCGGCACACACAUCACUUCUGAAACCACAGAAGCCAAACCACAGUGGAAAAUUCAGCUACUCUGGAAAGAAUCAGCAAGAUAAUUUUCUGCAAAGUUUCCUACCCUAGUAUGCCUUCUUCUAAGGUGGCCUAUAUUUCUAGUGCUUCUUAAAGCCCACACGAUUAAAGAGCACCGAGUCUCCGAAAACAAUGUACGUAUACACAUCCUAUCACCACGGCUGAGGCUGGGGACAGGUGGCGGACAACACGUGCCGUGGAAAAGCAGCAGGGGUCCCGCCAGCUCGACCCUGGGAAGGAGUCUGCCUCUGGCUCCGGGUUCGAGCUCACAGACGGGGCUACGUGUGACAUUUCAGGUGUCUCCCAAGACUGAAGAUGCUAAUCCUUUUCUUCAACACGUAUAGAAGCCUCUGAGAAUUCUGAAGCUCUCAUCAACUCAGGUGCUGAGGAUCACCUAGGGCUUAACGCACACGUGGACGCCCCCACCCCUCGGGUCCCAGCGGUCCCAGAAGCGGGCUGGCCCAAACCUGCUGGACUCUGAGUCCCGCCGCGGGUCCCCGGGGCGCUGGCCGUGCACGGGCCGGUCACCUCGCGGCCCAGCACCGGCAGGACACAGGAGGACACGGCAGGGCCCUCUCUCUCGGUGCCCGCGCCCGGGGCUCCCGCCGCGGCCCUCCCCUCCUCACCCCCCUCCCCCCGCCUUCUCUUCUGCACCUGCGCCCUGGCCCAUCGUUGCUCCCCUCUCUCCGUCCUUACUCGCCCACGACGCAUCAACUGAACGUUUCUUUUUGCUUUUGUAAAGUUGGCCAGUAAACGCGAUUUCCACGUUUUUUGAGCCCUCAAUUUAUUUUCUCCGUAGGGAAAACAUGUAAGGCUCCCUGCUGUUUCUUAGGACACACACAGCCAAGUAUGUUUAUGCUCCCAUGGCGACUGGGUUCUUUUUUUUAAUAAGAAAUGGGAAUCGCUGCGCUGCUCCCCUAUGGCUCGAACACACGGAACUAGAUAAAUGACAUAAUCGGACCUGUUGCCAUCACUGAGCACACUGUGUAGACGGGGUUAUUUAAAUACCGAAACGUGAACAGAAGACCAGCAAGCACUUCCAGGCAGUUUUUGGUGGCUGGUGCUCUGACGACACAAUUGCAGAGUCGCGCUGGCUUUGAGCACAGCUGUGCCCGUCCCCCCGAGGACCUCAGCCGUGUCUGCCCGGGCCCAGGGUCCUGCUUGGCCGGCCCGUCCGCACCCCCACCGGUUUCCCUCGCCAGGCGGUUGGCACCUCGUAGGCACCGCCCCAGCCCAGGCUGGCAGCUUUUUUCCCUGCAUGACAGGGACGGUUCUGGAAGUCCUAGAAGGUCGGGGCUGGAGGCACCUGGGGCAGCGGCUUCCCCUGAAGCAGCAGAGGAGAACCCUCAGUUGUAAGUCCCACAACACGAUUCUGUGUUCCAGGAGGAGCGAUCGUGGGCAAAACUUGGCCACUUAUCUUUCCUGAGGCUCACCUCAACACCUGUUUUGACUUAGCACUUAAAGCUCAAAACAUUUUGGUCACUGUCCAGGAAAUACCUACAUUUCGCUAUAUCAUUGUUUGGUUUCCACGGUAAAGGAUGGGUCCGUGAAGCCAUUCAAACGUUUGCUCGCUAGGAUUUAUCUCAAUUGUAGAACAGACCCCUUCUCCACCAGUACAGACAACAACCUGAGAAAACAGUAUCCUCAAGCCCCAGUUUCUGGAAGAAUCACAUGGCAGACCUUCGCCAGAAAGUCACUGGGUUGGCACUUACUGGUCCUACAGGCGUUAAGUGCGGCCUUGUGGCAACGAAGGCAGCCAACCUCAGCAGCCCGGCCCAUCCCCCGACCCACCAUCUCACCUCUGCUCCCUGCAGGGCGACGGCGGCUCAUUCACCAUCGGCCCCGGACUCGUCAUCCCGGAUGCCCGCUUCACAGUCUCUUCAACAAUCACGGGCAGCCGCGAAAGCCUGUUGCCUGAACUUCACCAAAAUCCUACCGCAGUCACCCGGUUUGUGCGAGUCCCAGGCAGCGGCACCGCCGAGGAGCUCGCCAGCCAAGUGCAAGAAUAAAACGGAAGAAGAUCAGUAAGGAAACCGAACGCGUGGACCUCACUGCUGAGCAGUCAGACACUCUCCCCGACGACAGCACAGAGUCACAAAUGCACGUAAAAUCACUCCAGAUGCAAAUCAAAACCACGGUGUGAAACCCGUUCACACCCAUCAGAAUGGCGAUAUUCAAAACGAGAGCUAAUAACGAGUGUGUCCCGUGAGCCGCGGCUCCCUCUGACGGCCUCGACCGAACCACGGACCGACUCAGCAGGCCUGGGAGCCCAGGGACAGGAACGCUGUCCCCAGGAGGUGGCUGCCCAGCCAGAAGUGUCUCCCAGGCGCCCCCGCCGACACCCAACCCCACGAGUGGGCUACCGUAUCUGUCCCCCCGCCCCGUCCUUACAGAGCCACACGAUGGGCCACGUACUAUUCCAGGUGCCAAAGACACACCCGGGUGGCGAAACACGGCACCCGCUCGGACGGCUCGCACACAGCCCACGGGCCCGCGUCAGCGACGAGACGGGAGUGAAAUACCCUGGGUACCCACGACAGAGACGGAGUGGGAAGGACAACUGGUGUCCCCUCGGGCUGGAACGUCUGAAAAUAGGAGGGACACAAGCCGGCGACUCUUGGGCAAGGGCGAUGCGGACAAGGAGCCGGUGAGCAGCGGGGACAGUGUAGGCAUGCUGACCAUCACACGCGAGAUGCAGCAGGUGCAGGGACACAAAUGGGAAAAUAAAGGUUUUUUUUAUUCGCUUUGAGCCACUACCGGUAAAAUGACACGUCGCACGUACCAGUCCCACCGCACAAUCCAAGCUUUCCCAUACAGAUGUGUUCUGUGGGUUAGUAUCUCGGAAGGUAUUUCCAAACAAAAAGAAACUACUCGUCACGCUCACCCACUCAACACCUUUCUGCUCAAGGACGACGUGGGGAAAUCACACUUUCCAGAGGGAUGCAGUGCUAAUGACAAAUGAGGUUCCAGACGGGGCGUUUCCUGCCCAUCCUCCCAGAUACGACCAAAGGUCAGGUUCUCUGCGUAACAGAACAGUGACCAAUUUCAGACGGUGCUGUUCCAAUGCUUUCCCCAAAUUUCAAAAGCCACCUCCAGCUGUCACUCCCAAUCCUGUCACUGAACUCUAGCUCCAAUCAGGUAACAAAAAACAAAUCACACCCAGGGGCGUCUGGGGGGGGGCUCAGUCGGUUGAGUCAGCUGUGCGGACAGCUCCGAGCCUGGAGACUGCUGCGGAUUCCGUGUCUCCCUCUGUCCCUCCCCUGCUCAUGCUGGAUCGCUCGCUCACUCUCUCAAAAAUAAAGCGUAAAAAGAAAAAUUGUUUUGAAUAAAAAGUAAGUCACACCUGUGACACAGGUCCUGCCGUGGCUCAGAGAAAGUGUUUCCAGAGAUGGCUUCCAGGCAAAUGCAGUUUGGAACAAGCACAUGGGGAGACUUUCGGCAACAGAGCACAUCCCCACACGGCGCCGUUCACUCGCACAAAACGUGACCCACCGCCAGGACGGAGGCCACAGCCCACGGACCGAGGGCAGACCGACACUGCGGCUCCCAGGGGGCCCUGGCCCGUCUUCUGUCCUCCUUCCUCUUGGUGUUUAUGGCUCAGUUUCACCGAGGGGCUAUCCAAGCAGACUGUCAAGUUAUACAAUCUCGCUCCUCACGCCAUCACCUCCCUUUACCUCUGAGGGCCCAGCAGGUAUUUCUGCCCCCUUUAGGCUAACGUGAAAUGAAAAACAGGCACUCCAUGAACCACGGAGUCUGCUCACUUACUGAGAUCAGUCACGUAGGUCUAGUUCACUCUUUAUUAAUAAAGGUGACUUCUAAUAAAAAGCAUAAUUUAAUUCAAAUAAAAAAGUACAGAACGUAACACAUAAUCACAGCGUCACUUACACAAACAGGAACGGACGUGCCCUCUCUGGGCUGUCUGGAACGGAGACCUCAGAGCCCUCGGUGACCUACGUGGACAGCAGUUCGGCAGGUGCAGGGGAGGGGGGCUGCCCCCAGGCCGGCACUGGCCCCGUGUGCAAAGGGCCGCGGUGGAACGACCUAGAGUGAGUGGGUAAAGCCCGUCAGACCAGAUGUGGUCUUAGGCCAUCACCACUGUUCCAGUCCAAUCUGGAUUUGAGUACGACCAGCCUACACAUCUGAAAUAAAAGCACUGCUUCAGGCUU